UGGGUGGUGCCCUGGCCCAGCUCUGGGGCCACAAGUCUUCAGGAGCAGAGUCCUGCUUCUGAAUGAGGAGGGGGGACCCUUGGACAGGGGAGGGGGCAGGCAGGGCUGGAGUACCUGACCCAGCUGCCCCUUGCUCCAGGCAUCGUCACGGAGCAGAGAGCAAGGGAGAUCCAGCAAGUGACAGCCCAUCUGCAAAACCCCAUCACGCCAGAGGUCACGGGGAAGGAGAGCCUGGCGCCUGACCUCAGCAUCUGUUUAUCUAAUCAGGAAGGAGAGUGGAGAAGUCGGCAAGGACUGCAUGCACGUUUUAUGAGGCCCACGAUGCAUUUCAGAGCCUCUCGGUACCAUGUCAACUGCCAGCAAAUGUUACUACCCAGAGCGAUUCAGGGUUGUUGCUGUCUUCAACAUUAUGUAACCAAGACUUCAAGAAUUCCAAGCAAUACGCAAAAGAAGGAAUGGAAGACAUUAGAAAAGGAUGCUUCUGUCGGCUGAACAAAAAUCAGAACAAGAGGAAUUC